GCUCUUGAAAUAAUCAAAAGUGUAACCUGCCCAAUGAUUUUAAAUAAUUAUUAUUAACUUAAUAAAAUAAAAUUUAAAGGACGCAGUAUCCUGACUGUGGUAAUGUAGCAUAAUCACUCGCCAUUUAAUUGGUGGAUAGUAUGAAUGGUUGAACGAAUUUUUCACUGUCUUAGAAAGAGAAAUUAUGAAAUUUAAUUAGUAGUCAAGAUGCUAUUUAAAACUGUAAGACGAAAAGACCCUAUAGAGCUUGACUAUAAACUUUUUCUAAAAAUUAAAAAAUGAAGUUUUUAUUGAAGAAAUAGUUUGGUAGUUUAGUUGGGGCGACUGUUUUCUAAAAUUAACGAAAAUAAGCAAGAAUUAAUAAAUAAUUUAUUGUAUAAUUAAUAAAUUUAACAAUUACGUAAGUAGGCUAUAAUGACCCGUUAUUAUUAAAAAAUUAAAAUAACGAUUAAUAAAUAAAAGCUACCUUAGGGAUAACAGGAUAAUUUUGUUUUAGAGAUCUUAUCGAAUACAAAGUUUGUCACCUCUAUGUUGAAUUAAGAUAUCCAAUUAGCGCAGAAGCUAUUAAAGGUAGGUCUGUUCGACCUUUAAAAUCUU
rnacentral:rRNA from 1 species